CUACGUGCACCCAAGUGUACAAGUGUAGCGUUGUAGUUUCGUCCUUCGUGGCAGACAUGUCAAACACCUUUUGACCAAUUGUUAUGUGUUGUUGUUUCUUCCAAUGAAUCUGAGAUUAUUUUCAAUACUAGGGGACGGGACGGUGUUUGCCAGGUGAAAGCUCGAAACCUAUCGAUUGUGAUUUCCACAAUGAGGGUGUUUUGUCGGAUCUUUCUGCGUGUAGCGAAACACAUUUACAGCUGCCUUUGAAGCUUAAUAUUGUUGUAAUGAAUGAUCAUCAUGGGUUGGAUGAGAGAAAACAUACACAAACCAAAGAAAGUCUUAGUAGAGAAGGGACUAGGGAUGCCUGGCCAAACCAAACCUGGAGGCAUUAGAUGAUAUGAUCGAUGAGGAGGAAGGGGAGUUAGAAGAAGAUGAUGAAGAAGAAGGACAAGGACAAGAAGAUCGAGAAGAACAAGAGAAAGGGCAAGAAGAACAAUACAAUGCUGACCUUUACAGAAAGUUAAUAGAGGGUGAGUUUGGUGACAGUGGUGUAGAAUAAUCAGUAUUUAUUUUGUGAAUUUUUUAAAUUUUUAACAGUAUUUCUUCCAUAGAUGUAUUAAUAAUUAAUAUUAAUAAUUAAGUAAAUAGAGUCUAAAAUUGUUUUGAUUGUUCUACAUUUACAACAGCUUAUUCAAAUUAACCCAAGCUCAAAAGCUGAAGAAAACAUGUCAUUACUCUUUUUUACUGAAUGAACCACAGAUCAUUGUGCUGUCUGUGAAUAGUUUUGUUGGAUCUAGAUUUAAGGGUCAAAAGAAUGACAGAACAUUAAUAUUUUCAUCUUCAUUAUAAGAACCCAGUCACAGUCGUGCAUGACUAACUGUGGCCACCUUCCUUAGUUUAAAUGAGCUAAUCAAAAUGCAUGAACUAGGUACGGUGAAAAUAUCAAGCACCAUGUAACCUGUCGGUCAAUUGACAACUCCACCUCUCACAUUUCUUUUCAUCAUUUUUGGAUUUGCCAGGUGUGAAUGGUCCAAGCCAUAAGAAAGUUGUUGAAAAGAUGUCAAAAAAAGAUGAAAAAAAAAAAAAAAACUAGUUUGGUGGCCUGUGUUAGAAGUGCUCCACUGUAAAAAAUUGUAGAAUUUCCCAAACUAAUUCUAACUUUGGUUAUUUUGCCUCUGCAACAAUACAAAUGUCAAGAUUAUAGUGGUUUUACAACACAGGCUAAAAACAGGUCCUAGAAUAUAAUUUUCGAAAAUGUUUGGAUAAAGCGACGGUUUGUAUCAUCCGUGAGCUCAUGUGCCCAUAAUUUUGUCUUUCAAAAUUGAGUUUAACAUUGCAGAUAAUUCAAGUCAAGGUCACAAGUCAGAUUGUUUUGGUUCGCCCGUGUGUAGAAAGAUCUAUAGGAUUCCUGUGGUAUUGGUAUUGGUAAUUAUUAGACCUGUUCAUGAAAACACUAGUUGUAUAAAUUCCAGUCUAGCCAUAAGUAAAAAAGAUUUGUAACCUUCUUUGUCAUAACCGAAUUAUGUUAUUGAACUAGUACGAGUUCCGUGUUGGUAAAACAUUUGUCAAGUUCUUCACCUUGCAGUGUUAUGGCGAGAUCCAUAGACUUUUAAAAAAAGAAAUACCCAUAACAGUAUCCGACGUCAGUUUAAUUCCAUGUUCAAUGCUAAAUUCCUGAGGGGUGUGCCAACAAACGAGGAUUAACAAUAGAGCUAUAAAUCAAUGAACAUAACAAAUCCCUCUAAGAUUCUCCAACCGAAACAAGUGAUAUGUUGUUGAGAUAUCACUGAACUCCUAAUUUUCAACCUUCUGCUUUCAUUUCAUCGUUUCUCCCGGUUAAUAACA